rnacentral:misc_RNA from 1 species
ACUCUCUUUAAGCUGCCACGACAAAAUGGACAUGACUCAGACCUUGUGUUCCAAUUUCGGUAGCAUUUGAUGCACAUUGAAUGACAGCAAUUCGGCAAAACCAUCCUUGUACAUGGCUCCAAGCAAAUACCACACUCAUCUUCUCGCUUCAUAUCGAUGUUCAUGAGUCUACCAUCUUUAUCACCUCUCUUCUUGCUAGACAUCUCAAUCCAGUGAUGCCCAUCCUUGCAAUCGUCAAACUUAUCCAAGCUACCAUGGAUUCGCUGAAGCGAAG